UUACAUCGCAUGGUGUUUGGUGGAAAGCUUUUGCGGUUCAGGAUGGGCCCGCGGCCUAUCAGCUUGUUGGUGGGGUAAUGGCCUACCAAGGCGACGACGGGUAGCCGACCUGAGAGGGUGAUCGGCCACACUGGGACUGAGACACGGCCCAGACUCCUACGGGAGGCAGCAGUGGGGAAUAUUGCACAAUGGGCGCAAGCCUGAUGCAGCGACGCCGCGUGAGGGAUGACGGCCUUCGGGUUGUAAACCUCUUUCACCAGGGACGAAGCGCAAGUGACGGUACCUGGAGAAGAAGCACCGGCCAACUACGUGCCAGCAGCCGCGGUAAUACGUAGGGUGCGAGCGUUGUCCGGAAUUACUGGGCGUAAAGAGCUCGUAGGCGGUUUGUCGCGUCGUCUGUGAAAUUCUGCAACUCAAUUGUAGGCGUGCAGGCGAUACGGGCAGACUUGAGUACUACAGGGGAGACUGGAAUUCCUGGUGUAGCGGUGAAAUGCGCAGAUAUCAGGAGGAACACCGGUGGCGAAGGCGGGUCUCUGGGUAGUAACUGACGCUGAGGAGCGAAAGCGUGGGUAGCGAACAGGAUUAGAUACCCUGGUAGUCCACGCCGUAAACGGUGGGUACUAGGUGUGGGGCUCAUUUCACGAGUUCCGUGCCGUAGCUAACGCAUUAA
rnacentral:rRNA from 1 species